AUUGAACGCUGGCGGCAUGCCUUACACAUGCAAGUCGAACGGCAGCACGGGUGCUUGCACCUGGUGGCGAGUGGCGAACGGGUGAGUAAUACAUCGGAACGUACCUUAUCGUGGGGGAUAACGCAGCGAAAGUUGCGCUAAUACCGCAUACGCCCUGAGGGGGGAAGCGGGGGACCGUAAGGCCUCGCGCGAUUAGAGCGGCCGAUGUCUGAUUAGCUUGUUGGUGAGGUAAAAGCUCACCAAGGCGAUGAUCAGUAGCUGGUCUGAGAGGACGAUCAGCCACACUGGGACUGAGACACGGCCCAGACUCCUACGGGAGGCAGCAGUGGGGAAUUUUGGACAGUGGGGGCAACCCUGAUCCAGCAAUGCCGCGUGAGUGAAGAAGGCCUUCGGGUUGUAAAGCUCUUUUGUCAGGGAAGAAACAGCAGCUCUAACACAGUCUGCGAAUGACGGUACCUGAAGAAUAAGCACCGGCUAACCACGUG
rnacentral:rRNA from 1 species